UCCAUUGAUGAUGAAUUCAAGCUUAAUCAAAGCCAUGGAUGAUCUAGUUUUCAAGACCAUCAAUUGAGUAAGAUCUUAUCAUUUGCUAUUGAUUUUAGUAUUUUCUUCUUGCUUCCUAAUUACAGCAAGGUCCCAUUAUCCAUUUGAUUAUUGAUUCAUGAAUUCUUGAUCAAAUUUAGUCCAUAUAGUUGAAGGGAUCAUCUGUGCAUAAAUUGAUCUAGUUUCCAUGACCCUUUUUUUGAGAUUUUUGGAGGAUAAUUGACUGAUAUUUCUGAGUUUUUCACAUCAAAAUCAGUCAAUUGAAUAGCAUUUUUUAUAGAUAAAAUUCUUGAUUUUAUGAGAGGAGAUUAUAACGAAUUUCUAUGGCACGGUUUUGUGAACUCUUGAGACUGUUUUGUGAUCUAAUCUCAAGAUUUCUCCCACGAGCUCCACUUAUGUUUUUGUUUAUUUGAUCUCUGCAAAUUCUUCCAUGUUUCUAGUGUAUAUCAGUAGUUGAUUAGCUUCCCACUCUUGACAUGAUGAAUUUGGCUGAAUUUUGAGAUAUGCCAUCAGAUGUCACUUUAUGGCACAUAGCUAAGGCCUAGGGCCGUGAACUGGGUACCCGAGAACUGCGAUUGGCUUCCCAUGGACAUGCUGCAUUGCAUAAUUCAUUUGAGCAUUUAUGUAUUGUAAUAAUGGUGAUCAUGUUUCCUUGAGUUUUGUGAAGUCAUUUGAUAUAUAAAUUUGCAUUAAAAUUGAAUGGUGUAGAAGUUUUAAAAUCACCUCAUACUUGUCUAGUUCGUUGAUAUCUAUGUGUAGUUUUGUUUUAUGUUGGUCAUGGGACCCUAAUUGAGUUGUCUCCUCUUAUUUUUGAGUGUAUACUCAGUCAUUUGUCUACUGCAAUCACAAUUAUGCUAGUGUAAUUGAAGGUUGUAAGCUCAUUUGUGGUGAAUAGUACAAGAAUUUUGAGUUGUAUUCACUUGUAUUGUCUCAUUGCCUAAUUGCAAGCCUAUGUAAUUUGGUGUUUUUACACUCUCAUAUACCUCUUUGUCUUAGUUAUGGACAACUUAACUAGGGACCUAAACGAUGAGGUACCGUAGUACAUGUUGUUCGUGGGUGACAUAUUUUUUAUAGAAGAGACCUUAAACGGCGUCAACACAAAGUUAAAACUUUGGAGGAAAGUUCUAGAAUCUAAAAGCUUUAAAAUUAGCUGGACUAAGACAAAUUGUAUGGAAUAAAAGUUUAGUAAUUAUAGGAGUAGAGAUGAAGAAGUAAUUAAUAUUAAUGGCCAAAAAUUACCAAAAAGAUUACACUUUCGAUAUCUUGGUUUGAUAAUCUAGGAAAAUGAAAAAGAUUGAGGAAGAUAGUGCACAUAGAAUUAGAGCUGGAUAGACGAAGUGGAGAUAUGGAAACGGAGUUUUAUGUGAUUGCUGCAUACCAAUGAAUCUGAAGGCAGUUCUAUAGGACAGUUGUGAGAUGUGAUUUAUGAAGUAGAAUAUUGGCAGUCAAGAAACUACAUACUCGUAAAGUGAGUGUAGUUGAGAUGAAGAUGUUGAGAUGAAUGAGUGAAAAAAAAAAAAUGGUUAAAAAUUCGAAAUAUGGAUCGUCUUCCAAAAACUUUUGGGUCAUGUUGAUAGUUUGUUUCAUGAGUUUUGGCCCAUGAAUUAAUGNNNNNNNNNNNNNNNNNNNNCCUAUUAAGAUGUUGAUCCAUGUGUAUGGACUUUAGAAUUUUCAUGAUGGACAAUGCUCUCCUACACAUUCUGUGGUGUUUAUUGACUGCUGAAAGUGAACAUCGACUGCUGAGUUGCCUGUGUAUGUUAUAUGGGGGUUCUAAGUUGUUUAUUGACUGCUGAAAAUGAACAUUGACUGUUGAACUGCAGGUGAUUGCAGGCAUAAAAUAUUGGUGAGUCGUCAGAGCAACGAUUGAACGAAAUCUCAGUUUGGCGUCUUGGCCUAUACAUAAAAUCUGGUUUGCAGCAUGAGCUUGGUUGGAAGCAUUGAUCUGCCCUAUUUUCGGGCGACUGUGAUGUAGUUAUCUAUUGUGCCUGGUUUGAUUGUGGUGUUUCCAAUGUAAUAUUUUUCUAUGCUUUUGUCAUUGGCAUGGUGAUUGGGUUUAGGAAGAAGUGGUCUAACUUAUAUUGUGCAGAAUUUUUGUUUGGUUUUUGAGGGACAAUUGGAGUGUUGCUUGUCUGAGAAGGACUCCUUGAUGUACAUUAUAGAGGGAAUUUUUUUAUGACAGUUUUUGGACAUUUGGUAGAAA
rnacentral:lncRNA from 1 species